rnacentral:rRNA from 1 species
AUGGAGGGGGAUAACUACUGGAAACGGUAGCUAAUACCGCAUAACGUCGCAAGACCAAAGUGGGGGACCUUCGGGCCUCAUGCCAUCAGAUGUGCCCAGAUGGGAUUAGCUAGUAGGUGGGGUAAUGGCUCACCUAGGCGACGAUCCCUAGCUGGUCUGAGAGGAUGACCAGCCACACUGGAACUGAGACACGGUCCAGACUCCUACGGGAGGCAGCAGUGGGGAAUAUUGCACAAUGGGCGCAAGCCUGAUGCAGCCAUGCCGCGUGUAUGAAGAAGGCCUUCGGGUUGUAAAGUACUUUCAGCGAGGAGGAAGGCGUUAAGGUUAAUAACCUUAGCGAUUGACGUUACUCGCAGAAGAAGCACCGGCUAACUCCGUGCCAGCAGCCGCGGUAAUACGGAGGGUGCAAGCGUUAAUCGGAAUUACUGGGCGUAAAGCGCACGCAGGCGGUCUGUCAAGUCGGAUGUGAAAUCCCCGGGCUCAACCUGGGAACUGCAUUCGAAACUGGCAGGCUAGAGUCUUGUAGAGGGGGGUAGAAUUCCAGGUGUAGCGGUGAAAUGCGUAGAGAUCUGGAGGAAUACCGGUGGCGAAGGCGGCCCCCUGGACAAAGACUGA